UACAGGGGGGGCAAGCGUUGUUCGGAAUUACUGGGCGUAAAGGGUCUGUAGGUGGCCAACUAAGUCAGACGUGAAAUCCCUCAGCUUAACUGGGGAACUGCAUCUGAUACUGGAUGGCUUGAGUUCGGGAGAGGGAUGCGGAAUUCCAGGUGUAGCGGUGAAAUGCGUAGAUAUCUGGAGGAACACCGGUGGCGAAGGCGGCAUCCUGGACCGACACUGACGCUGAGGAGCGAAAGCCAGGGGAGCAAACGGG
rnacentral:rRNA from 1 species